GCUUAUCACCAUUCCAGAUUGAAUAUACCCGAUCUCGGAAGACAAGCAAACUCGAGCUUGGUUAGGACUUGGAUGGGCGACCACUU
rnacentral:rRNA from 1 species